rfam:Schistosoma curassoni strain Dakar, Senegal genome assembly, scaffold: SCTD_contig0001757
GCACUGCUGAGGAGUCUCACAAUGGGACGAAAUGGUCAUCCAGUGC